UAGGGAAUUUUCCGCAAUGGGCGCAAGCCUGACGGAGCAACGCUGCGUGAGCGAGGACGGCCUUCGGGUUGUAAAGCUCUGUUCUUCGGGAAGAACGGCGGGAGGGCGAAUAACUCUCUCGCAUGACGGUACCGAAGGAGAAAGCCCGCGUAACUACGUGCCAGCAGCCGCGGUAAUACGUAGGGGCGGAGCGUUGUCCCGGAAUUAUUGGGCGUAAAGCGCGCGUAGGCGGCCGGUUAAGUCCUGUGUGAAAGACCACGGCUCAACCGU
rnacentral:rRNA from 1 species